CCGCCUACAUGAUGCAUAACAUACCUUCACGACUAGACUACGGUCGAUGCUGUUGGAAUUAACCUUCUUUCGGGUCUGACACUUGACGG
rnacentral:snoRNA from 1 species